rnacentral:rRNA from 1 species
GACGAACGCUGGCGGCGUGCCUAAUACAUGCAAGUAGAACGCUGAAGGAGGAGCUUGCUUCUCCGGAUGAGUUGCGAACGGGUGAGUAACGCGUAGGUAACCUGCCUGGUAGCGGGGGAUAACUAUUGGAAACGAUAGCUAAUACCGCAUAACAGUAGAUGUUGCAUGACAUUUGCUUAAAAGGUGCAAUUGCAUCACUACCAGAUGGUCCUGCGUUGUAUUAGCUAGUUGGUGAGGUAACGGCUCACCAAGGCGACGAUACAUAGCCGACCUGAGAGGGGGAUCGGCAUCACUGGGACUGCGACACGGCCCAGGAUCCUACGGGAGGCAGCAGUAGGGAAUCUUCGGCAAUGGACGGAAGUCGGACCGAGCAACGCCGCGUGAGGGAAGAAGGGUUUCGGAUCGGAAAGCGCGGUUGUAAGAGAAGAACGAGUGUGAGAGUGGAAAGUUCACACUGUGACGGUAUCUUACCAGAAAGGGACGGCUAACUACGUG